CUCUUCAGCAACCUGUCCAUGGAAGCGAGGAAUCUCUCACCAUGGCCAAGGGCUCGAUGCUUGUCCUAAUUCUCACUUAUUAUUGGGGUUGCAAUGCCCAAUUCACAAUGACUCAGCCGCCCUCUGUGUCGGCUUCCAUCGGAGAGACCAUUAAGAUCUCCUGUAGGAGAAGCAGUGGGGGCAUAAGUGACUACUAUAAUUCCUGGUACCAACAGAAGCCCGGCAGUUCUCCAGUAUUACUCAUAUAUGAUCAUAGCAGCAGAGCCUCUGGAAUCUCGGACCGAUUCUCAGGUUCUCUUGACAAAUCUGCCAAUGCCGCCGUCUUAACCAUCUCCAGUGUUCAAACAGAAGAUGAGGCUGAUUAUUACUGUUUAUCUUAUGAUGGCAGCGGGCAGCACACAAUGAUACAACUACAUGGGGAAGUGAGAGAAAAACCUCUGUGCAGCUGA